rnacentral:rRNA from 1 species
UCGAGCGGUAGCACAGGGGAGCUUGCUCCCCGGGUGACGAGCGGCGGACGGGUGAGUAAUGUCUGGGAAACUGCCUGAUGGAGGGGGAUAACUACUGGAAACGGUAGCUAAUACCGCAUAACGUCGCAAGACCAAAGAGGGGGACCUUCGGGCCUCUUGCCAUCAGAUGUGCCCAGAUGGGAUUAGCUAGUAGGUGGGGUAAUGGCUCACCUAGGCGACGAUCCCUAGCUGGUCUGAGAGGAUGACCAGCCACACUGGAACUGAGACACGGUCCAGACUCCUACGGGAGGCAGCAGUGGGGAAUAUUGCACAAUGGGCGCAAGCCUGAUGCAGCCAUGCCGCGUGUGUGAAGAAGGCCUUCGGGUUGUAAAGCACUUUCAGCGAGGAGGAAGGUGGUGAGCUUAAUACGCUCAUCAAUUGACGUUACUCGCAGAAGAAGCACCGGCUAACUCCGUGCCAGCAGCCGCGGUAAUACGGAGGGUGCAAGCGUUAAUCGGAAUUACUGGGCGUAAAGCGCACGCAGGCGGUUUGUUAAGUCAGAUGUGAAAUCCCCGGGCUCAACCUGGGAACUGCAUUUGAAACUGGCAAGCUAGAGUCUCGUAGAGGGGGGUAGAAUUCCAGGUGUAGCGGUGAAAUGCGUAGAGAUCUGGAGGAAUACCGGUGGCG